ACGAAAUUGGGAAAGGAAUUAGGUUACCUCUCACGCUCUUCUCUCCUCACACCUCUGAGCAAGCGGCGGCCGGAGAUUUUGUCUUCUCCGAUCAACCUCCUAAUCGUCGCUACACUCUCCCUCUCGUCUAUAUUCUCCGUCUCAAACUCGAACUCUCCCUCAAACAUGAACGGCGACGGCGAUACUUCUCCUUCUCCGAUCGGAAACAAGUCGCGAGUACCGAUUGACCUCCCUGUCCUCGUCUCUUGCAAUAUCUUCUUCUUUGUGUUGUUGUUCGCAGAGAUGUUUGUUGAAGGUCGUUGCGGAGAUGAUGAUUGUGCGAUUCUCAGGUUUGGAUGCAGAAUCGUGAAGUGGUGAAGAUUUGAUGGAUAAAGAAUCGGUGAAGGUUGAUGAUGGAGAGGAUUACGACGAUGAUUCACGAAGGAGGUGGAGUGCGAUGAUGAAGAGGUUGAUGAAGAUUCGGUUCUCGUUUUCAGUUACAGGUAUGUUGAAGCGCGGUUUGUGAAUGAAUGGAGCUAUGAGUAUCGAACUAUAUUGCAGUCAAUUUUGGUUUGUGAUGUAUGGAUUGUUUGCUGCAUCAUAGUGGGACUGUGGUUGCAGGGAUGUAUUUGACGGCAAACGAACGGGGCUGUAAAGUGCUGCAGUGUGUUUUUUGUAUAUUUCGGAGUCGACUCAGUUUUAAUUGCUGGAACUGGGGAGCGUUUGCAGGGACCAUUGUAGCGAGUUCUUUUCCUUUAUAUUGCAGGGAACCGGUGCUUCAGAUGGAUUUGGCUCGGCUGCGAAUUACACUUGAGUGUGAACUGGAAUGCUGAAUGCUCGCAUGAAUCUUAUUGGCGAAAAGGAAUUGCAUAUGGUGAUUUUAACGGUACGGCAUAUGUAGCAAGUGGUAGAAGUGGGACUGCAGGGACAGGUUUCUAGAGUUCAAAUCCAGUCAACUUGAUCCAUGGUCAACAGCUGAUUUUAUUGUUAUUUCAUUUUGUAGUAUAUAUUUUUGUAAUGGGUAUUGAUUUUGAAAGGGUACUUGUGGUGAACUUGAAUGAAUUUUGGAUGAAGAUAUGUAUUUAUGUGUGUAGCUCGAUGAAGCUUGCUUGGACACUUAUAUGCUAUUUUUUUUUGUGUAAUUUCCUUUGAGGUAACGUACUGUAACAAACGGAUCUCAUGAGGAAAUGGAUUUCAUUGCCAUGGAAUAGCGAAUGAAUAUUGUAAAGAAAUUCUCUUUUAUUCCUUUUUUCUAA